GAGAAUAAGAGCACGUGCUGACUUUAUAAAUUCAGUCAAGAUGAAGUCACUUUGUGUGUGAUGGGAAGUGUGUGCUGCAAGGAGACAAAACAUCCAAAGAGUUACAGGGAAUACCUCAGGCAUAGGCAAUAUUGUGAAUGAAACAUUGAAUGAAUUACCACCUCCUGACAGACUGAUCAAUGGAACAUGAGAACCCAACAGCUGAGAUUCCUGAUAAAAAUUCCAUAGGUUUCAGCCUGUAGGAAUCUUCAAGAUAAUGAUGAUCAGUGUGGCCACAGGGAUCAUUUGGGAGUUACAUAUUGAUAAGUGGAUGUGCUCUCCCAAAAGGCCAAGAGAGGGAAAGAAAGGGCAGGAGUGAGAAUCUUGUUAAAAGGAGAAACAAAAUAAAGUUUUAAAGUUGAGCCUGUUUAAGCUAUUUGUAACAACCCUUGGAAGUUUGGUUUCUACAUCAGAGCAAGAAAAUGCAGCUAAUGUUUAUGAUCAAAUUUCUUCAACCUGCAGUCACCAUGAAAAGGAUCCAAUGAGAAUGAAGAAUCUGAGGGUUCCUGUGAGUUCUGGACGGGGAGACAUUCACAAAUUCUACUUCAGGUUGUUCAGAAAGCUUUUCAGAAUUCA
rnacentral:lncRNA from 1 species